GAAUUGGAAGCAAGACGCCUACUUUUCACAAGAACAAGAUAUGGACAUGGAUAUGGGCUUUUCUUCAUUUUAAAACUGGACAAAAUUUAGGUACAUUACUUUAAGUGCUUUUGAUAUUGUUCUUUAAUCAAAAUUAGAAUUUCAUUUCAGUAUCAUCUGCCAUAAAGGUUGAAUUUAAAUGUUGGUACUAAUUAGAAAUUCUAAUUUUGAAUCAAAAAC
rnacentral:lncRNA from 1 species